rnacentral:rRNA from 1 species
UACGGAGGGGGCUAGCGUUGUUCGGAAUUACUGGGCGUAAAGCGCACGUAGGCGGCUUUGUAAGUCAGAGGUGAAAGCCCGGAGCUUAACUCCGGAAUUGCCUUUGAGACUGCAUCGCUUGAAUCCAGGAGAGGUGAGUGGAAUUCCGAGUGAAGAGGUGAAAUUCGUAGAUAUUCGGAAGAACACCAGUGGCGAAGGCGGCUCACUGGACUGGUAUUGACGCUGAGGUACGAAAGCGUGGGGAGCAAACAGG